rnacentral:rRNA from 1 species
GACGAACGCUGGCGGCGUGCUUAACACAUGCAAGUCGAACGAAGUGGCGAACGGGUGAGUAAGGCGUGAGCCACCUGCCCUUCAGAGGGGAAGCAAAGUCGGAAACGAAUGCUAAUACCGCAUACGGAAGGAGGGGAGGGCGUCUGCUUCGCUAGUUGGGGGGGUAACGGCCCACCAAGGGGAUGAUCAGUAGCCGGUCUGGGAGGGUGAACGGCCACAUUGGGACUGAGACACGGCCCAGACUCCUACGGGAGGCAGCAGGGGGGAAUCUUCCGCCAUGGACGAAAGUCUGACGGAGCAACGCCGCGUGAGUGAUGACGGCCUUCGGGUUGUAAAGCUCUGUUAAUCGGGACGCGGUACCGGAAUAGAAAGCCACGGCUAACUACGUGCCAGCAGCCGCGGUAAUAC